rnacentral:RNase_P_RNA from 1 species
CUGUGUGGCAGCGCGAAUUUUUCGUGAGGAAAGUCCGGGCAUCAUAGGACAGGAUAGCUGCUAACGGCAGCCGAAGGCGACUUCAGGGCUAGUGCAACAGAGAGAUACCGCCGCGGUUUUCCGCGGUAAGGGUGGAAAGGCGAGGUAAGAGCUCACCGCCCGUCCGGGAGACCGGAAGGGCCUGUAAACCCUAUCCGAUGCAACGCCGAGCGCGCGAACCCGCUGGUCCGGCGGUCAACAGCGCAAAAGGCGGCACUGAGCAUGCGCGGCGACGCCAUGCCAAGAUAGAUUGUCACACUCGACAGAACCCGGCUUACAGGUCGGCUCGUU